rnacentral:rRNA from 1 species
CAAGUCGAGGGGCAGCAUGGUCUUAGCUUGCUAAGACUGAUGGCGACCGGCGCACGGGUGAGUAACACGUAUCCAACCUGCCGUCUACUCUUGGACAGCCUUCUGAAAGGAAGAUUAAUACAAGAUGGCAUCAUGAGUCCGCAUGUUCACAUGAUUAAAGGUAUUCCGGUAGACGAUGGGGAUGCGUUCCAUUAGAUAGUAGGCGGGGUAACGGCCCACCUAGUCUUCGAUGGAUAGGGGUUCUGAGAGGAAGGUCCCCCACAUUGGAACUGAGACACGGUCCAAACUCCUACGGGAGGCAGCAGUGAGGAAUAUUGGUCAAUGGGCGAGAGCCUGAACCAGCCAAGUAGCGUGAAGGAUGACUGCCCUAUGGGUUGUAAACUUCUUUUAUAAAGGAAUAAAGUCGGGUAUGUAUACCCGUUUGCAUGUACUUUAUGAAUAAGGAUCGGCUAACUCCGUGCCAGCAGCCGCGGUAAUACGGAGGAUCCGAGCGUUAUCCGGAUUUAUUGGGUUUAAAGGGAGCGUAGAUGGAUGUUUAAGUCAGUUGUGAAAGUUUGCGGCUCAACCGUAAAAUUGCAGUUGAUACUGGAUAUCUUGAGUGCAGUUGAGGCAGGCGGAAUUCGUGGUGUAGCGGUGAAAUGCUUAGAUAUCACGAAGAACUCCGAUUGCGAAGGCAGCCUGCUAAGCUGCAACUGACAUUGAGGCUCGAAAGUGUGGGUAUCAAACAGG